rnacentral:lncRNA from 1 species
UUAUUACAAGCAUUUUAUAAUUUUGUAUAAAUGUCUAUUUUCUCUAAAUAUUUUGCUUUCAGUAAAAUGCUUUCCAACUCUGUUUAGUGUAUUAAUUACCAGUGGAUUGGUAGAACUGCUUUUUAUUGACUAGUAAAAGUUACUGCCUAUGCUUUUUACCUUAGGCUUACAGAAUUAAAUAAAAAUUAGCCAUUCCAGAAAUAUAUUUUGGACUGUUG